rnacentral:ncRNA from 1 species
AAUAAUAAGGGGAGCUUGUGUGACAGGCUGAGAGGAAGCUAAAGACUUCGACCCGCAAACCUGAUUUGGGUAAUGCCAACGUAGGGAUUAUAUGAUG